rnacentral:miRNA from 1 species
CAAAUAUUUUCUAAGCCUACUGUC